GUGGAGGCGGGGCUGCUAGCAUACACACAGUGCAGAAAAUUAAAUUGAUUUUCUACUGCUUAUCCUCACGAGGGUGGCGGGGGUGCUGGAGCCUAUCCCAGUUGUCUUCGGGCGAGAAGACAGAGGAACCCUCUUGGAGGACCGCUUUCUCCGGCCUGCUAGCUUCUAAAUGCUAGCCUGACGGCCAGGUGACUCAGAUUCCAUCAGUUCAUUAUCAAAUACAGUGGAACCUUUGGUUAGCGUCUGCCUUGGUUAGCGUUUGCCUUGGUUAGCGUCCGCCUUGGUUAGCGUGUUUUUCGGUUACUGUUGAAAAAAUGAGUUUUCCUCGAUUUACUCAUUCAAUACCAAAGAUAGAUACUUGAUCCCAACAAGGUAUUUAUACGUUUGUUUGCGCGAGAAGCUAAAGGUGGUGGAGAUGCACCUCCUCAGUAAUGCAUUAAUACUUGAGAGCCAUAAAAACGGCCACGAGGUGCCAGAAGUGCAAUUAUAAGAAAGUCAAGUAACCACAGCAACUGUAUCUCCAACGUCCACAAAUGUCCACUCACGCAUGAUCUCUCUGAUGGUGACAGGUUGAGCCAGGGUUGCGGGAGCGCUCGGACCAGCCAUGUUGAACGCCCGCACACGGAAUUGCACCUUGUCUCCUGUGGUGAGAUCUCUGAUCACCAACGAGGUUCUCUCGGUCAGGCCUUGAAUGGCUGGUAUCCACUCAUCCGCUGUGGGAAGACAGGGGGGUCCCACUGCACAAUACAGGAGUCUUCUCCGACGCUGAGAACCCUGGGAGCCUGAGGAGCAUCUGGAACAUCUUUUGGAAAUAAUAUUUAUUUAUAAUACAUCCCUUCAUCUUGCCUCUCAGCUCCUUCAAUCGUGAAGAUGCAAUGUCCUUUGGUGGUUUCAACGUGAACUCUACCAUCUCCAUCUGUGAUGACCUACAUCGUGAAGAUCAGAGUAGAGUCAAUAAAAAAAAGGCUGCGCCACCAACCGGAAAUGGCCCCAGUGCUACAUUUUGGACACCACAUCUGCCUGUCACAAAGGCCAAUCAACUUCUGAAGGGGCCUUUUAUUGUGGCCUAUGGACAAUUUGGAGUCGC